ACCCUUUUAGCGCAGUGGUCGAGCACUGGCUUUGAAAGCCACAUGUCCGUGGUUCAAAUCCACCCGGGCGCA
rnacentral:tRNA from 1 species